CCUACGGGAGGCAGCAGUGGGGAAUCUUCCGCAAUGGGCGAAAGCCUGACGGAGCAACGCCGCGUGAGUGAAGACGGCCUUCGGGUUGUAAAGCUCUGUUAUACGGGACGAAUAGUCUUGUGGUUAAUACCCAUGAGAAGUGACGGUACCGUAAGAGAAAGCCACGGCUAACUACGUGCCAGCAGCCGCGGUAAUACGUAGGUGGCAAGCGUUGUCCGGAAUUAUUGGGCGUAAAGGGCGCGCAGGCGGCUUCUUAAGUCUGUCUUAAAAGUGCGGGGCUUAACCCCGUGAUGGGAUGGAAACUGGGAAGCUCAGAGUAUCGGAGAGGAAAGCGGAAUUCCUAGUGUAGCGGUGAAAUGCGUAGAUAUUAGGAGGAACACCAGUGGCGAAAGCGGCUUUCUGGACGAAAACUGACGCUGAGGCGCGAAAGCCAGGGGAGCGAACGGGAUUAGAUACCCUGGUAGUC
rnacentral:rRNA from 1 species